GACGAACGCUGGCGGCGUGCUUAACACAUGCAAGUCGAACGAUGAAACCGGAGCUUGCUCUGGUGAAUUAGUGGCGAACGGGUGAGUAACACGUGAGUAACCUGCCCUUGACUCUGGGAUAACUGCGGGAAACUGUAGCUAAUACCGGAUACGACCCUCGGAGGCAUCUCCUGGGGGUGGAAAGAAUUUCGGUCAAGGAUGGACUCGCGGCCUAUCAGCUAGUUGGUGAGGUAAAGGCUCACCAAGGCGACGACGGGUAGCCGGCCUGAGAGGGUGACCGGCCACACUGGGACUGAGACACGGCCCAGACUCCUACGGGAGGCAGCAGUGGGGAAUAUUGCACAAUGGGCGCAAGCCUGAUGCAGCAACGCCGCGUGAGGGAUGACGGCCUUCGGGUUGUAAACCUCUUUUAGCAGGGAAGAAGCGAAAGUGACGGUACCUGCAGAAAAAGCACCGGCUAACUACGUGCCAGCCGCCGCGGUAAGAC
rnacentral:rRNA from 1 species